CUACGGGCUGCAGCAGUGGGGAAUAUUGCACAAUGGGCGCAAGCCUGAUGCAGCCAUGCCGCGUGUAUGAAGAAGGCCUUCGGGUUGUAAAGUACUUUCAGCGGGGAGGAAGGGAGUAAAGUUAAUACCUUUGCUCAUUGACGUUACCCGCAGAAGAAGCACCGGCUAACUCCGUGCCAGCAGCCGCGGUUAAUACGGAGGGUGCAAGCGUUAAUCGGAAUUACUGGGCGUAAAGCGCACGCAGGCGGUUUGUUAAGUCAGAUGUGAAAUCCCCGGGCUCAACCUGGGAACUGCAUCUGAUACUGGCAAGCUUGAGUCUCGUAGAGGGGGGUAGAAUUCCAGGUGUAGCGGUGAAAUGCGUAGAGAUCUGGAGGAAUACCGGUGGCGAAGGCGGCCCCCUGGACGAAGACUGACGCUCAGGUGCGAAAGCGUGGGGAGCAAACAGGAUUAGAUACCCGGGUAGUC
rnacentral:rRNA from 1 species